CUACGGGAGGCAGCAGUGAGGAAUAUUGGUCAAUGGGCGCAAGCCUGAACCAGCCAUCCCGCGUGCAGGAUGAAGGCCCUAUGGGUUGUAAACUGCUUUUGUACACCAAGAAAAGUCGUGACGUGUCACGAUCUGACGGUAGUGUAUGAAUAAGCAUCGGCUAACUCCGUGCCAGCAGCCGCGGUAAUACGGAGGAUGCAAGCGUUAUCCGGAUUCAUUGGGUUUAAAGGGUGCGUAGGCGGCCUUUUAAGUCAGUGGUGAAAUCCUGCCGCUUAACGGUAGAAUUGCCAUUGAUACUGAAAGGCUUGAGUUCAGUUGAGGUAAGCGGAAUGUGUAGUGUAGCGGUGAAAUGCUUAGAUAUUACACAGAACACCAAUUGCGAAGGCAGCUUACUAAACUGACACUGACGCUGAUGCACGAAAGCGUGGGGAGCGAACAGGAUUAGAUACCCCGGUAGC
rnacentral:rRNA from 1 species